UUUCUGAUUCUUUAACCUCUGUUUGCUCAUAUGGCUAGCAGCUCAAGUGGGUCUUUCCAUACCCACGGUCGAGGAACUUAACUAUUUAACUUCUGGCGUUUUACGUGACUUUUGGUGCAUUUUUUUCAAAAUAAAAGCAAAAUAAAGCGGCGUUUCACCCCCCUGUAAGAUCUACAGUUUGAAGAGGAGAUUUCGGCAUUUCAAAGAGGAGCACCGCUGGUUACACCUGUCAAUGGCUGCAGAGAGAAGGAGUCUUUCACAGUUUAGACGUGUGCAAAAUGUCCCGGCUCGACUUUGGAAGAGGAAAAGAGAAACUUGGAUGAGUUACACAUCUGUUAGUUAAUAUAAAAAUGGUUUCUGUUUUCCUCCUCUUGUAGUGUCUCCUUUUUGGUUCUCUGCUAUUCCUUCGUG